rnacentral:rRNA from 1 species
UAUUUUGUUGGUUUCUAGGAUCGACGUAAUGAUUAAUAGGGAUAGUGGGGGGCAUUAGUAUUCAAAGUCAGAGGUGAAAUUCUUGGAUUUAUUGAAGACUAAGACUGCGAAAGCAUUUGCCAAGGACGUUUUCAUUAAUCAAGAACGAAAGUUAGGGGAUGGGAGACGAUCAGAAUCCGUCGUAGUCUUAACCAUAACAUAUGCCGACUAGGGAUCGGAUUAUGUUAAUUUUUUAAUGACUCAUUCGGCGCCUUACGGGAAACCAAAAAAUUUGGGUUCCUGGGGGAGUAUGGUCGCAAGGAUGAAACUUAAAGAAAUUGACGGAAGGGCACCACCACCGGGGGAGCAUCCGGCUUAAUUUGACUCAACACCGGGAAACUCACCACCUCCACCCAUCGUAAGGAUUGACAGAUUGAGAGCUCUUUCUUGAUUAUAUUGGUGGUGGUGUAUCACCGUUCUUAGUUGGUGGAGGGAUUUGUUUGGUUAAUUACUUUAACGAACGAGACCUCAACAUCCUAAAUAAUUACCAUUAACUUUUGGUAGGCCGUCGCUUUUUAAAAGGACCAUUCAUGUUUAACCGAAGGAAAUUUGAGGCCAUAACCAGUUUGUGAAGCCCUUAGAAGUUUUGGGCCGCCCGCCCGGUACCAUGAUGAAAUCAACGAAUUUUUAUCCUUUAUCGGAAGAUAUGGGUAAUCUUUUGAAACUUCAUCGUGCUGGGGAUAGAGCAUGCAAUA